rnacentral:tRNA from 1 species
AGCCCCGAGGUGUUUGCACAUCAGAUUGCAAAUCUGAAGGCGCAGGUUAACGCCUGCCGGGGCUU